rnacentral:rRNA from 1 species
UACAGAGGGGGCAAGCGUUGUUCGGAAUUACUGGGCGUAAAGGGCGCGUAGGCGGCCUGCUAAGUCGAACGUGAAAUCCCCGAGCUCAACUCGGGAACUGCGUCCGAUACUGACAGGCUUGAAUCCGGGAGAGGGAUGCGGAAUUCCAGGUGUAGCGGUGAAAUGCGUAGAUAUGCGGAGGAACACCGAUGGCGAAGGCAAUCCCCUGGGCCUGCACUGACGCUCAUGCACGAAAGCGUGGGGGGCAAACAGG